rnacentral:rRNA from 1 species
GUUUGACCCCCCGAAACUAGGCGAGCUACUUUUAAACAGCCUUACGAGCCAACCCAUCUCCGUAGCAAAGGAGCGGGAAGAUUUAAAAGUAGAGGUGACAUACCUAUCGAGCCUAGAGAUAGCUGGUUAUUUAGGAAAAGGAUUUAAGUCCACCUUUAAGUUUUUUAAGUACACCCAAACCUCUCUACAAACUUAAAAGUCAUUCAAAUAAGGUACAGCCUAUUUGAAUCAGGAAACAGCCUACGACAUAGGGUAACACCCACUUCCUGUGACCAGGUAGGCUUAAGAGCAGCCAACCUCCAAAAAGCGUCCAAGCUUUAUCACUGUCCAUUGUCAAUCCCAUAAUCAACUCACAACCCUAAACCACUACUAAAUAACCCCAUACCCCUAUGGAAAAUAUUAUGCUAGAACUAGUAAUAAGAAGAAGAACUUCUCCUGAAUACAAACAUAAGCCGCAAUGAACUACUCACCGGCACUCACCGCUACUAAGC